rnacentral:lncRNA from 1 species
CACAAAAGUAGAAUUAAGACAUCCGGGAUAAAUGACUCAGCUGAGCUCAAUGAAGCCAAAACAUGUGCGUCCAGGCUUAAUUGGUUGCACAAAGACCAAGCCAGGAUGAGCAGACACGGAUUCAUUAAGCCAGGUGAAACCAAUCCUGGAUAGGUGCGCGCUCACGGCUCACUCAAAUAGACCCCGCCACAGAUCACAGAUUAACUGAUUUACCAUGGCAACUAGAGCCGCGUACUUUUCCCCGUCGGAAGCACAAAUCCUCAUGGAGGCAUACGAGGAGGUAAAAUAUAUAAUUAAGAAGAAAGGCAACACCGCCACAGUGAUAAAGCAAAGAGAAAAAGCGUGGCAAAGUAUUGCAGACCGCCUGAAUGCAUUAAACAUGAACGGGCCAAAACGGACAUGGCAGCAGGUCAAAAUCAAAUACAAGAACAUUCUGCAGAAUGCAGUGAAAAAGAAUACCCACAGACAAGGCACGGGUGGUGGGUCACCAAAGGCUGACCUUACCCCAGCAGAGGACAUGGCCUUGGAGCUAAAUAAAGGCAGGCCCGUCUUAGAGGGGAUCCCUGGGGGGAAAGAGACGAGCAUAGGUUCCUCCCAAGAUGCCACCCGCUUCAUUCAAGUGUCUGGCAGCACUGUGUUCCUGUUAGAGCCACCAGCACAAGCACCAGACGAUGCUGAUCCAGGUGAAGGCCCCAGUGCAGCAGCAACAGCACAUGAUGGAGACGAUGAUGAGGAGGAGACCAUCUCUCUGGAUUCCAGAAGGCAUGAGGACCCAGAUGCUAUACAGUGGGAAAACCAGCCUGGCAACAUAGUGCGUAUUAAUAAAAGGACACCACAUCCUGCCAAAUUCCAGCUGCGCUAAUUGUAUUGUGUUCACAGAGCUCACAAGCUAUCAGAAAGUUGUAUGGCAACCACCUCCGGCGCCAAAUAGAACUGGCAGACAUAGACAUUCAGUACAAGAAGAAAAAGAUGGAAAAUCUUGCACUGGAGUCCGAAAUAAAAAAGAGGACAAUUAGGAAACUGGACCUUGAAAUAAAAAAACUUGAGAGGGAGCUCCAAGAAGAUGACACAGCUCAAAAUAAAAAUUAGGUAUAUUCUCGUAAAGUCAAGUGAGCCAUGACAUAUGAGCUCUUAUUGUGAGCACACAGG